UAGCUUUGCUCUUCUGCAGGGGCCGCGUGGUUCUGGGUGAACUCCGGCGCCGCUUCCUUUCUAGACGCUGAGCGCCCCGGCUGCGCUCGGCCUGGGAGGAAGGCUUUUGAAGAGUGGUUUUCUGGUGGGGACUCGGGUGCGUGCGGCUCUAAUUGACGGGGAAGUUGCAGGCGGGAUGAUAAAAGUAGGGCUAAUGAGAGAAACCUGAGAGGAUGGGACUCCCUCAGAAGAGUCCUGGGUGCCAGAGCCCCCUGGGGUGACCCAGCCUAAAGGGGGAAAGCGGAUCGACAAAUUCGUCGCUUAAGUUCAAACGUAAAAUAUCUAAGAUCGACAUGUCCCAGUUGUAGCCCAUCUACUGCACCAAAGAAGAAUUCGUGCCGAAAGACAUUAGUGGAGUGGGUCGUGGGGCUCGUGGAGGAGUUGGUAGCUGUUUACACUGAAGCGCAGCCACCUAGGCCUGGGGCACGUGAGUCUAACCUAGCCCCUUUCCUCUUGGCAUCUGCUGUGUGGUUAUGAUGAAAUAGCUUGUUGACGGGUUUUGUUGUUGUUGUUGGUUUCUUUUCUUUUUCUUUUUUUUUUUUUGCUAAGUCCUUUAAGCCCUUGGAGCUAUCAUUUGUCUUGACUCAGUGCUUCUGAAGUCUGCAUUUUUGAUUCUGCUCAGAACUCUGAAGUAUCCUGUGGUUGAUGUAGGAGAAGGACAAAGACUGAGUCCUGGUUUGGAUGGGAACCCUCAAGUGAAGUGGAAGACAGAAGGAUCCAGGGCAUUUUAAAGCCCUCAGCGUUCUAAGUAUUGCAGAUAUCUGGAACCUGACCCAGAUUGUAUGACAUAAAGACUAAAUUGCACUUAAGUUCCCACAACUUGGUUAUGGGAGAUAGUACUUUCUUUUUGGGGGGGAGGGUACCGAGGAUUGAACUCAGGGGCACUCUACCAUUAAGCCACAUCCCCAGCCCUAUUUUGUAUUUCAGUUAGAGACAAGGUCUCACUUGACAUUCUUAGCGCCUGAUUUCUGGUGAGGUUAGCUUUGAACUCCUGAUCCUCCUGCCUCAGCCUCAGAGCCACUGGGAUUACAGGUGUAUGCCACUGUGCCCAGCGAGAUAGUACUUUCUGUUCUCCGGCAAAUCAGUAUAGAUGUGAAUGAUCAUAAAGAUUACCCAGGGCAAUUUAUUCUAAAUUUACAAAGACUUCCUCUGUAGAUUAAACCAGCUAACCUGCAAAUACUUCCCAGUAUCUUCCAUGGCAAAAAGUAAGCACUGCACAUUUAGGUGUUGGUUGCUUUAUUUCACUGAAAAAUCUGGGGGUUCAGUGGAUAUACAAUCUGGGGUAAAUAAUUGGUGCUUCCAGAUAUGAACUGGAAAGUGUGAUACAGCCUCAAUGUUUAUAUUCCCCACUCCCUAAAUUCAAAUGUUGAAACUUAACCCUCACGGGGCUGGGGAUGUG
rnacentral:lncRNA from 1 species